GAAUAAGAUAUUCAAGACAUCAGUAAAUAAAGGAAAAUUAUUCUUAAAAAGGGAAAAAUAUAAGAUGAGAUCUACUAACUAAAAUAAGAUAGACCCAGAAAGACAUCUGCUGUAUGAUCUCAUUUACAUAUGUGGAGUCUAAAAAGGUGAAAUUCAUAGAAGCAGAGAGUAGAAGGGUGGUGACCAUGGGCGGAAAUGGGGAAAAGGGGUGCUGUCCAAGGGUGCAAAUUUUCAGUUAAGUUCUGAGCAUUUAAUGUACAUCAUGGUGACUAUAGUUAAUAAUACUGUGCUAUUUACUUGAAAUUUGAUAAGAGGGUAUUUUAAGUGUCCUCAUCAACACAUAUACAAAAUGGUGACUAUGAAUGAUGAUAGAUGUGUUGAUUAAUUGGACUGUCAUUAUCAGGACAUGAUGCACAUAUGUAUCAAUCAUCACAUUGUAUACCUCGAAUAUAUAAAAUUUUCACUUGUCAAUUAAAUAUUUAAAAAUAAAAAAGAAUCCAAGUAUUAAAAAAUAGCCCUAAAUCUUAUUUCUGGACUUUUAAUUAUGUGAAGCAAAUAAAAUUUCCUGUAUGUUUUAAGUCAGCUUGAGUUAUUUUUUUCUCUUUUGAAACAAAAAGAGUUAUGACAAACAUAACGGAAAAGUUAGAAGCCCAACACACAGGCCAACAAAUGUCUUAAUUCAGUGGUUUUAUAAAAUAAGCUACCCCUACAAUACUGUUAAUUUCAUCAUUUCCAGAAUGCCACAUUGAAAUAUUCUAAAUUCAUAAGCUCGAUGUUCAUUAAGAUGAAAUAAUAAUCAUGGGCCUGACACAAAGUCAUCUCUUAAUUGUUUUGUUUUCUUUGCCUUCUCUGUAAUUUGAAAUAUUCGGGCAACAAGCCAAGUUGAAUAAAGACAGGAGAGGUAAUAAUUCUUAGGCACUUAUGAGUGCAUAAAAGUCACUUUAAUCCCAUCUCCUUUUAUUGCCACAACAAUCCUCUAUAGUGGCGAUUAAAACUUCUAUUUUACAGAUAUGAAA
rnacentral:lncRNA from 10 species